GUGCUCACUUUGGCAGCACAUAUACUAAAAUUUGAACAAUACAGAGAUUAGCAUGACUCCUGCACAGGAUGACAUACAAAUUCAUGAAACAUUCCAUUUUGUG